rnacentral:rRNA from 1 species
CUGUAAGCCUGUGAAGGUGUGCUGUGAGGCAUGCUGGAGGUAUCAGAAGUGCGAAUGCUGACAUAAGUAACGAUAAAGCGGGUGAAAAGCCCGCUCGCCGGAAGACCAAGGGUUCCUGUCCAACGUUAAUCGGGGCAGGGUGAGUCGACCCCUAAGGCGAGGCCGAAAGGCGUAGUCGAUGGGAAACAGGUUAAUAUUCCUGUACUUGGUGUUACUGCGAAGGGGGGACGGAGAAGGCUAUGUUGGCCGGGCGACGGUUGUCCCGGUUUAAGCGUGUAGGCUGGUUUUCCAGGCAAAUCCGGAGAAUCAAGGCUGAGGCGUGAUGACGAGGCACUACGGUGCUGAAGCAACAAAUGCCCUGCUUCCAGGAAAAGCCUCUAAGCAUCAGGUAACAUCAAAUCGUACCCCAAACCGACACAGGUGGUCAGGUAGAGAAUACCAAGGCGCUUGAGAGAACUCGGGUGAAGGAACUAGGCAAAAUGGUGCCGUAACUUCGGGAGAAGGCACGCUGAUAUGUAGGUGAAGCGACUUGCUCGUGGAGCUGAAAUCAGUCGAAGAUACCAGCUGGCUGCAACUGUUUAUUAAAAACACAGCACUGUGCAAACACGAAAGUGGACGUAUACGGUGUGACGCCUGCCCGGUGCCGGAAGGUUAAUUGAUGGGGUCAGCGCAAGCGAAGCUCUUGAUCGAAGCCCCGGUAAACGGCGGCCGUAACUAUAACGGUCCUAAGGUAGCGAAAUUCCUUGUCGGGUAAGUUCCGACCUGCACGAAUGGCGUAAUGAUGGCCAGGCUGUCUCCACCCGAGACUCAGUGAAAUUGAACUCGCUGUGAAGAUGCAGUGUACCCGCGGCAAGACGGAAAGACCCCGUGAACCUUUACUAUAGCUUGACACUGAACACUGGUCCUUGAUGUGUAGGAUAGGUGGGAGGCUUUGAAGUGUGGACGCCAGUCUGCAUGGAGCCGUCCUUGAAAUACCACCCUUUAAUGGCUGGUGUUCUAACGUGGGCCCGUAAUCCGGGUUGCGGACAGUGUCUGGUGGGUAGUUUGACUGGGGCGGUCUCCUCCUAAAGAGUAACGGAGGAGCACGAAGGUUGGCUAAUCCUGGUCGGACAUCAGGAGGUUAGUGCAAUGGCAUAAGCCAGCUUGACUGCGAGCGUGACGGCGCGAGCAGGUGCGAAAGCAGGUCAUAGUGAUCCGGUGGUUCUGAAUGGAAGGGCCAUCGCUCAACGGAUAAAAGGUACUCCGGGGAUAACAGGCUGAUACCGCCCAAGAGUUCAUAUCGACGGCGGUGUUUGGCACCUCGAUGUCGGCUCAUCACAUCCUGGGGCUGAAGUAGGUCCCAAGGGUAUGGCUGUUCGCCAUUUAAAGUGGUACGCGAGCUGGGUUUAGAACGUCGUGAGACAGUUCGGUCCCUAUCUGCCGUGGGCGCUGGAGAACUGAGGGGGGCUGCUCCUAGUACGAGAGGACCGGAGUGGACGCAUCACUGGUGUUCGGGUUGUCAUGCCAAUGGCACUGCCCGGUAGCUAAAUGCGGAAGAGAUAAGUGCUGAAAGCAUCUAAGCACGAAACUUGCCCCGAGAUGAGUUCUCCCUGAGACUUUAAGUCUCCUGAAGGAACGUUGAAGACGACGACGUUGAUAGGCCGGGUGUGUAAGCGCAGCGAUGCGUUGAGCUAACCGGUACUAAUGAACCGUGAG